rnacentral:snoRNA from 1 species
UGUUCCAGUGAUGAGAGUGAUGUACUAAAGACAUGAUUAAUCCAAUUCUGUGCACCUAAGGUCCAUA